rnacentral:lncRNA from 1 species
GGAGUACAAAAGAUCUUCCACUACAAAGAAAAUUCAAGGUCUCUAUCAACUCAUGCACUUUCACACCGACUAUAUAUACAUGCAAAUAGAAAUGUGAUAAGAAAAGCUCUCAAAACAGACUAUUAGUAUCUCCUACUUUAACCGAGAAGAUCUAAAUUUGCCUAGUAUAUCCACAACAAUCUACCAUUACCACGGCUUCACCAUACCAAACAGUUGGAUCUAUCAAAUAUGUUACAAGCGGAAUGUUGAAAUGUUAGUCACCACUUCCCCAGUAUCUGCUAAAGUUUACGUGAUUCAUGCACUAGUGUACAUUUUCUUCCAUAUUCACAAGCUUCCAGCCACUCCUUUCCAGCAUAGAGACGCACAGUUGCACAACUCUGCAUAUGUUAGUUAAAAGUGGAUGUUAAAACAACAGAAACAUUAGGAAGCAAUGAAUAUUUCAAGAAAUUUGACCAAAAAGGGGUAUUGGAAAAGAAUGGUGCAAGUUCUGGGGGUUAAGGAUUAAUACCAGCAAAGCCAAAUUUUACAGGCUUUGACUUCCCAGUUUGGGGUUUGAGAUUGAUAAACAAGCUGAUGCAUUGGUUUGCCAGUGGUCGUCUUAGGGUAUACACUGCAUGAUCCAGAUGAUUAAACAGUGUUCCAAGAGGGUUUUUCAUCAGGUGGUUCCAAGUCAGUUUUAUUUUCAUGAAAGAACAGAAAACUUUUUGACAUUAGAAGAAAAUAAAAUUUGCCACACAGAUAAAAACCAAGAUGACAAAAAUCAGUCAACAGCUUCCUUCCUAACAGUUGAAACCAGCUUAGAUAACAUCCUUUGACAGAUAAACUGAAAGGUAUGUUCCUUCUAAAGUAGAAGAGAAAUGUAGCAAACACUUCUAAAACUCUCUUAGGACAGGACAACGUAAAGAGCUAACUACAGUUAGAGAAGCACAACAGUCCAAGUUCCAUACUAGUUAUAUAACUUGCAUUAAUAAAGUUCCUUGAAUACGCAAUUUUGUUACAGACACCACCCAGCUUUAGAUAUCAAUGGGACUCUAUCCAUUCGCAUAUAUAACUGGAAAAAAGGGUAUCACAAUACAUACCAGUUAUGGUUUCAACUUAGGAUUGAGGUGGAGACUCUGGCUCAGAACCACAAACAGACGAAAACGACAUGGUAUCUUCUUUCGGUAUUGCGACGAAGUUCAAUGGUGCAGUGGAAAGCCUUCUCGUUUCCUUAAAAUAACCAUUCUGCCGACCAGAAUAAGAACGAGGUGUCAGAAGCUCUGGAGUUGCACAGCCGAUUGAGUUUCUACGAGGUGAAGGAGUUACGGAUCCGUUUCCAUUUACAUGAUAACCAUUCACUUUUCUAAAACUGUUGCUUCUUCUUGGGCUUGGCUUGGAGCCAAAUCUGGCUUCUUUCUCUGCAAGUAGCAUGUCCUGGAGUUUCUUUUGAUCCUAUACAGAAUACAAGAGGGAACCCUUGGUAAGAUACAAAAUACAGGAGAAAAUUAACAUUAAAUACAUUGUAUAUCCCUGUUAUGCAAAAUAGAGUGCCCAAAAUUGAGUCUCAUAUUUGACACAAUCAUACAAGUAAUAAUGUCAAAGGGCUAUCUUUGCAAAGAUCAGAUUCAUUUUCUUUUUCACCCUUUUGCCCUGUCAUAAGAUAAAUCAAUUUGAAAUAAGAGUUGAAAAGAUAAGACUCCUCGAUACUUCUGCCACACAUUGCUGUCUUCUAUGACAGUUGAAUGAGUAUCAAUAUUCAAUAAUAAAAAUUACCCUAGCUCGCUUUUUCUCCUCUUCCUUCUGUUGUCUGGUUCGUUUGUAAUCCUCCAGUAUUGAAGCCAACCGCACCUAGAGACAAGAAGCUGCAAUUAGCAAAAGAGUCCCUUUCACCAGAAUAUCGAAGUAAAAGCAGAAGCAAAUUACAAGUUAACAUGACUCACUCCGUCAUAAAGAAACAACUUCUUUUUCUCAUCCUCCCACACUAGCGUCUUGCUAAUUAGAUUGUCAACCAUAACUGGACCAAGAGAACAAUUGUAAGCUCCAAUGAUAUUGUAAGUUCAGGCAACAAAUGAUACAAGGUUAUAGCAGGUAUAGAUAGAUACCUGGAAUCUUAUUGACCAUCACUCGAGCUCGUUCUGCACGUUUAAGGUUUAUGUGAGCACCUCUUCCAGCACUAUACCGGUUUUCAUCCUGGUAACCAUGGGAGCCAUUAGAACAUGCCAAGCACAAGUUAGAACCCCAUAUAUUUUAUAAAAGCUAGAAUGCCAAUAUAAGGCCAAUACUAUUAAGUUCAUGCUGCAUGAGAACUAUUUAGCUUACUCGAUUGUAGUCUUCAAGCCAGUUUUCCUCCUCACAGGCACAAAGCCAUCGUUCAAUUCUAUCCAUAAUUUCUUUGCGACUAAAAGCUUCUUCUGUUGCUUUGUUAAUCUGUGUUUCAAUGUUUGCUAAAAGUUCACAAGGAUCCAGGAGACCUACAAGAAAAGGUUUCAAGCUUUUUAAUUUGCAACUAAGUAGAAAAGCAUUUACAUCUUAUAGAAAAAGGCAACCAACAUACCAGAAUCUAUCAUUGCAUUAGCUUUAUCAGCAGCGGUGCUUGGAUCAGGUUGAAUGUGGGUCCUACAGCAAAUAUCCUCUAAUUCUUGCCUCCUCUUCAU